UAGAAGGGCUGCGCUUUUAAAAAAGCGCAGCCCUUCUCACAAUAGAAGGGCUGCGCUUUUUAAAAAAGCGCAGCCCUUCUGUGUUAGUAGGGCUGCGCUUUUUAAAAAAGGCGCAGCCCUU
rnacentral:snRNA from 1 species